CCGCCACUAGCUCAGCAGGAAGAGCCAAUGGCCUUAUAAGGUAUGGGUGCGGGGUUCGAGACCUCGGUGGCGGUCCA
rnacentral:tRNA from 1 species